rnacentral:SRP_RNA from 1 species
GCUGGGCAUGGUGGUAUGUGCCUGUAGUCUCAGCUACUCAGGAGGCUGAGGUGGGAGGAUCGCUUGUGUCCAGGAGUUUGAGGCUGCAGUGAGCUAUGAUCACUCCACUGCACUCCAGCCUGGGCAACAAAGUAAGACUCUGUCUCUGAAAAAAAAAUUACCUUAUCUAGCAGCUAUUUUUUUUUUUUUUUUGAGAUACAGUCUCACUCUGUCGCCCAGGCUGGAGUGCAGUGGAGUGAUCAUAGCUCACUGCAGCCUCCACCUCCUGGACUCAAGCGAUUCUCCUGCCUCA